GAUGCUGGGUAAAGUUCCCGAACUCUACAGGGCUCAACAGUGAACCCUGAGGAACUCCUUCAUACAGCACUUCAACCAGAGAUGAGGAAAUACUUGAUGAGAUCCAGCAAAAGCAACCCAUAACAAAUUCCUGAUGAACAAAAUCCAGUCUACAUUUUUUUUCAUGGUUGAGGAGCCAUUUCACUUGGUGCCCGUUUAAUGCUUCUGCCAGUGGAUGCCCACCCUCCAUAAAUUGUUGCGAGUCACUCUCUCCAUGCCUAUAUAUUAAGGGCAGGAAACGCGUUAUCUGUAGAGUGGGAAAGGGAUCCUCCAUUGGGAGAGGCUCGUUGGCACUUCAGCACUGCGUUGUCGUCGUCAUCGGGUCCAGGCGAAGGUCCUCGUCAGAUCUGGAUACGGCCUGGAUCCGGCAGGCUGCGGGAAAACCUCGGGAUAAACAAAGAAACUCAAAUUAGCGUA